rnacentral:lncRNA from 1 species
AUGCCCUUAGACAUGGGUAGCCUCGGUGAAAGAGUCAGUGGGGCCACUGUUCUUCACGACGUCCACAUUCUUUUCAGCCUUGGACGUCACAGACACCUCCGAGCGAAUGGCAUCCAACCUCUGCUCGCAGCGGAAGGCCGAGAGGAAAGCUUUUCGGUAGUUGCUGUUCAUCCAGCCAUACAGCAGGGGAUUGGCAAAGGUGGAGCACAUGGCAAUGAUGUGGAACACUGUGAAGAUGAGUUUGUACUCCUUCAGGUCCAGUACCUGGCUGUCAAUGUCCACAGCAAGCUGGAAGGCGUGAAGGGGCAGCCAGCUGACUGCAAACACCACCACCACGAACACCAGCAUUUUGGUGGUUUUCUGCCUUCGCUGAUGGUAGUGGUCACUCGCAGCCCCAGGGCUGAUGUGGUUCUUCAGCUUGCUCCAGACCCUGACAUAGGAAACAGAUAUGAUGCCCAGAGGCAAAACGUACAGGACCAACAAGGAGGAAAGGCUGUAGACGGUGCCAUAGAUGCCCUUCUCUUCACCUGGCCACUUCUCAGUACAAGCCACAAUCUCAAAGUCCGGAAUAAUUUCAAUCAAUGAAAAGGUAAAGCCAAGCAUGGAUUCACCGCAGUGAGCACAAGCAUUUAACAACCUACGUCAUGAACCAGGACUUGCGCUGGGUAGCAAGGCAGCAGUACAGUACCUCUACUCGAAGGUGCUUACAGUUUGCUGGACAGGGUUUACUGUGACAUUAAGUGGUCUUUUUGACCUGACCGUGUCAUUUUUCCCCAGUGUCUCCAGGUUGUUUAAAAUAAUAUAUCAGUUUCAGCUAUAAGAUUCCUUUUUUAAAGUUGAUGAAAACUC